rnacentral:misc_RNA from 1 species
GAUGAAGAACGUAGCAAAAUGCGAUAAGUAGUGUGAAUUGCAGAAUUCAGUGAAUCAUCGAAUCUUUGAACGCACAUUGCGCCCUUUGGUAUUCCUUAGGGCAUGCCUGUUCGAGCGUCAUUUAAACCUUCAAGCUCAGCUUGGUGUUGGGUGACUGUCCGCUUCACCGCGGACUCGCCUCAAAAUUAUUGGCGGCCGGUACAUUGGCUCUCGAGCGCAGCAGAAACGCGUAACUCGAGGUCCUCGUGCUGGCUCCCAGAAGCUAUCUUCACAAUUUUGACCUCGGAUCAGGUAGGGAUACCCGCUGAACUUAAGCAUAUCAAUAAGCGGAGGA